UGCGCGUUCUCCGCGGCUGCAUGGAGAUUCUUGAGUGGAGUCAAGGCAUCAACAAGAGUUGUGAGCGAACAUUUUAAAUCUGUCCCACCUACAUGACUGUGAAGUCUCUAUUUGCCAAAUGGUGUUUGACCGGUCCACAAAUCUGGUCUCAAUCGGCCAGACUUAUACACAUGUGGCGGAUGCGAACGAGACUUUCACAGUGGUAACUGAGCUAACGCCACACCACCACACGAUGACUGGAGACUGUGCAGAACUCGGAGAAAAACUGAUGAACAAGUGUUUAUCCGUAUGUAAUUGCUGCUGAUAUGGCUUCCUGGAAAUAUGGAAAAGGAUGUAUAUCGCUCUUUCCCUUUGCUGGUGGUUUGAAAUGUAAUUCUUGAGGGUUUUUUUUGUUGUGGUUUUUUGUUGGAUUGUUCAGAUUUAUAGUUAUUUAAUGUGUGGGCAUAGCUCAAUGUCCUAACCCUAAGUGAUAAGUUGCUAUCCUACCCUAAACAUUGAUGGAAACCCCAGCCAAUCCCCACCCCAAUGUAUCCAUUUAUUAAA